GCUCACGGCCACACCGGCCUGAGUACGCCUGAUCUCGUCCGAUCUCGGAAGCUAAGCAGGGUCGGGCCUGGUUAGUACUUGGAUGGGAGACCGCCUGGGAAUACCAGGUGCUGUAAGCU
ensembl:rRNA 5S_rRNA 5S ribosomal RNA